rnacentral:lncRNA from 1 species
UUAGAUGCAGAGAGCGUGCAUAGCAUACGAAUACGAUGAGUUGUUGUGUGCUUUUCUUUUAACUAACUACCCCCACUCUCAGAAUCAAUCUAGUCUCAAGUCUCACAGACAUAAAAACAAACACAAACGCUAACCGUGCAUAGCAUACGAAUACAAGAAGAUGGCGUUGGCUGUUCCUGCUGUUCCUUUCACGUACGGUGUUCACCUUCUUGGUCUUGUCGCCAUCGUAUUAGUGUUGCUUUGGAACUUACAUUUCAGGGGUGGUUUGGCUUGGAAUUCUUCCAACAAGGCUCUCAUCUUCAAUGUACUACUACUCUCUCUCUCUCUCUUUAUUCUUUUUUAACUUCGUCGAUUUCGUAUUAACCGUUUUUAGGUUUUGUGUUUCUCCUUGUUCUGCAAAAUUGAAUGUUAUUCACUCAUAACUUAACUUGAAAUUUCCUUCCAAUUUUUUUUUCUCUAGUUAAUUUGCAAUUUUUUUAAUAAAUAAGUACAAUUAUACAGAUUAACGUGUACUUAGCUGUUUUUUGUUUUACUAUAUUUAGCUGAUUGUUGAACGCCAGAACUUGGGUGAUUUUUUUUUUUGGUUGACUAAUAACUUGUGGAAAUGUUUGAAUACGAAUGCUCUUUCCAGAUUUACCUCACCUAAUAAUCUAGUCUAGUCAAUAAUAAUAAUAAUAAUAAUAAAUGGUGUUUAUACGCAAUAAAAAUGUGGUUUAUUUGGCUAACUAACUUUUUUCUGAAUUUAUUCGACUUAUUAAUUGAUUUAAGAAUUUAAAUGAACAUGUAUAUAAUUUAAAAAUUAAUGGUGCAAAUUAAAUAUAAUAUAGAAAAAAUAAUUUAAUAAAAAAAAUUAAAUACUAAUCGAAAAAAUGUUGAACAUAAUAGAUCGCAGACAUAAUUUAGUAAAAAAUAAUUUAUAUAUUUUAGAAGUAGAAGUUAUUUAUAGGUAGUCGUGGAAGAAGCUAAAAGAGUGGUAAGAGAAAGACCGACGUGGCGAGCAUGUAGGUAAAGAGAAGAAAGAUUUCGAUAGAGAUCGUACGGUGGGAAGGUAAUUAGAUGCAGAGAGCGUGCAUAGCAUACGAAUACGAUGAGUUGUUGUGUGCUUUUCUUUUAACUAACUACCCCCACUCUCAGAAUCAAUCUAGUCUCAAGUCUCACAGACAUAAAAACAAACACAAACGCUAACCGUGCAUAGCAUACGAAUACAAGAAGAUGGCGUUGGCUGUUCCUGCUGUUCCUUUCACGUACGGUGUUCACCUUCUUGGUCUUGUCGCCAUCGUAUUAGUGUUGCUUUGGAACUUACAUUUCAGGGGUGGUUUGGCUUGGAAUUCUUCCAACAAGGCUCUCAUCUUCAAUGUACUACUACUCUCUCUCUCUCUCUUUAUUCUUUUUUAACUUCGUCGAUUUCGUAUUAACCGUUUUUAGGUUUUGUGUUUCUCCUUGUUCUGCAAAAUUGAAUGUUAUUCACUCAUAACUUAACUUGAAAUUUCCUUCCAAUUUUUUUUUCUCUAGUUAAUUUGCAAUUUUUUUAAUAAAUAAGUACAAUUAUACAGAUUAACGUGUACUUAGCUGUUUUUUGUUUUACUAUAUUUAGCUGAUUGUUGAACGCCAGAACUUGGGUGAUUUUUUUUUUUGGUUGACUAAUAACUUGUGGAAAUGUUUGAAUACGAAUGCUCUUUCCAGAUUUACCUCACCUAAUAAUCUAGUCUAGUCAAUAAUAAUAAUAAUAAUAAUAAAUGGUGUUUAUACGCAAUAAAAAUGUGGUUUAUUUGGCUAACUAACUUUUUUCUGAAUUUAUUCGACUUAUUAAUUGAUUUAAAUGCU